GACGAACGCUGGCGGCGUGCUUAACACAUGCAAGUCGAACGAAGAGCGAUGGAAGCUUGCUUCUAUCAAUCUUAGUGGCGAACGGGUGAGUAACGCGUAAUCAACCUGCCCUUCAGAGGGGGACAACAGUUGGAAACGACUGCUAAUACCGCAUACGAUCUAAUCUCGGCAUCGAGGAUAGAUGAAAGGUGGCCUCUAUUUAUAAGCUAUCACUGAAGGAGGGGAUUGCGUCUGAUUAGCUAGUUGGAGGGGUAACGGCCCACCAAGGCGAUGAUCAGUAGCCGGUCUGAGAGGAUGAACGGCCACAUUGGGACUGAGACACGGCCCAGACUCCUACGGGAGGCAGCAGUGGGGAAUCUUCCGCAAUGGACGAAAGUCUGACGGAGCAACGCCGCGUGAGUGAUGACGGCCUUCGGGUUGUAAAGCUCUGUUAAUCGGGACGAAAGGCCUUCUUGCGAAUAGUU
rnacentral:rRNA from 1 species